CCUACGUGUGGCUGCAGUAGGGAAUCUUCCACAAUGGGCGGAAGCCUGAUGGAGCAACGCCGCGUGGGUGAAGAAGGUCUUCGGAUCGUAAAACCCUGUUGUUAGAGAAGAAAGGGCGUGAGAGUAACUGUUCACGUUUCGACGGUAUCUAACCAGAAAGCCACGGCUAACUACGUGCCAGCAGCCUCGGUAAUACGUAGGUGGCAAGCGUUAUCCGGAUUUAUUGGGAGUAAAGGGAACGAAGGCGGUCUUGUAAGUCUGAUGUGAAAGCCUUCGGCUUAACCGGAGUAGUGCAUUGGAAACUGGGAGACUUGAGUGCAGAAGAGGAGAGUGGAACGCAAUGUGUAGCGGUGAAAUGCGUAGAUAUAUGGCAGAACACCAGUGGCGAAAGCGGCUUUCUGGUCUCUAACUGACGCUGAGGUUCGAAAGCGUGGGUAGCAAACAGGAUUAGAUACCCCUGUAGUC
rnacentral:rRNA from 1 species